rnacentral:rRNA from 1 species
UACAGAGGUCCCAAGCGUUGUUCGGAUUCACUGGGCGUAAAGGGUGCGUAGGUGGCGAGGUAAGUCGGAUGUGAAAGCUCGGAGCUCAACUCCGAAAUGGCAUUGGAAACUACCUUGCUCGAGGGUUGGAGGGGGGACUGGAAUUCUCGGUGUAGCAGUGAAAUGCGUAGAUAUCAGGAGGAACACCGGUGGCGAAGGCGGGUCUCUGGGCCGAUACUGACGCUGAGGAGCGAAAGCGUGGGGAGCGAACAGG